UACGUAGGGGGCUAGCGUUGUCCGGAAUCAUUGGGCGUAAAGAGCGUGUAGGCGGCCCGGUAAGUCCGCUGUAAAAGUCAAAGGCUCAACCUUUGAAUGUCAGUGGAUACUGCCGGGCUAGAGUCCGGAAGAGGCGAGUGGAACUCCUGGUGUAGCGGUGGAAUGCGCAGAUAUCAGGAAGAACACCAACGGCGAAGGCAGCUCGCUGGGACGGUAACUGACGCUGAGACGCGAAAGCGUGGGGAGCAAACAGGAUUAGAACCUAC
rnacentral:rRNA from 1 species